CAUGACUCCAUCGCAUUCUGAAUCACCCCCAAAGGCCUCACUGCCACUAUCCACAGAUCAUGUGUACUGAGCUGAACUCACAAUCUCUGCAUGGUCAGUUUGCAGAGUGAUGGAACAUGAGUCCUGCUGACUCAGGGUGAAACCCAGACUGGGAGAUUCUGCUGCUGCAGGGCAAGGGCCACCUCGGAAUCCUCGGUUAUCUGGGAUCCCAGCAACUUCCAAAGCACUGCUGAAGCCAAGCACCUGCCUGGGGAAGACAUUGCUCCACAAGCCUUUGAUGUGGCACAUUUAAGCAGCAGGUUCAACCAGUAAUUCAUUGAACAAAGCAUUCAAGGCAAUGGGACAAACCCAUGUGGGAAUUAGCCUGAGUCACACUGUGCAGGAGUGGCACCCCUAAGCUGAGCCUGAACCCAUCCCAGAGCUCUUCCCUUUUCAUCCAUUCAGGCUCUGCCACAGAUCAAAUUCUCCAUCUGAAAUACCAAGGUCCCCCUCAUCUGGUAUAAUUUUACCUUGAUUUUCAGACACCACUUUAUGUGGAUAGGCCAGACGAGGUUUCCUGAACACUCACUCAGGGAGAAGGAAAUAUCAGCAGAAAUUAAUGGAGAGAUGUCAGAGAUGUCACCUUGGGAGAUUUAAUUUACUGUGUCCCUUCAGUGCUUUGCCAACUUUCAGCUGAGGUUGGUUGUAUGAUUUGGUAAACUAAACUGGGGAAAGGCUGAUUGGAGAACAAAUAAUGGAGCUGGGGGUUCCAUGCUCCAGGAAGUAAAAUGAUAAUCUCCUAUCAAAAGACAAAUAUGUUAAUCUCUGGCAGUAAAAUUCAUAAGAGCAUCAUGAGAUAUAAAUUGAAAAAGAAAAAGACAAAGACAUAAAGAAAAACAGAGUAAUCCAGCCAUGGGAGAACAGCAAGAAAAGCAGCUGGUUCAGAUAUUCAUAUUGACAAAACUCUGGCUGGAUAUCAAAUAUAUCCCUUCCCACCCCAAAUUCCUGUGGGCUUCAAGGAAGCACAAACAUCCCUUAUCAUUCUACAUCAUUAAUUGCCAGUCCUACUCUGUCCAAGUACCAGAGCAUUGACCUCUGAAUGCAGAUACAAGUGGUCCUGCUCACCCCUUACCCCACGGUUCAGUCCUGUGGGUUCAUGUGGGGAGAAGCCUGAGUUGCCAUAUGGAACAUCAGUCCAAGGAAAGUCUUUUUAUCUUACAUAGAAGGCCAUUCACCAUCUCCCACUGGUGUCUGCCAUAAAAGCAAGACAAAGUGAGGUUGUUUCAGCACUGUCUGGUCUCAGGGAACGUGGAUGGAUGUCCAUCCAGUUUUACUGCAGUCUGGAAUAGAAUUUCUUCAUGCAAGGAGCACAUUUAGCUGUCUGCAAAUUCCAGAGGUGUUUUCAGUAGAAGUGCAAGGUUGUGCUACCAAAGGAGAACAUGAGCCAAAGAUGUUCUAUUAUCCAUAUCCUAUUAAAGGUCAGCCAGAGCUCUUACCUCAGUGCUAUAAUGUGACCAGAAACUUAAUUGAAAAUAUACAAAAAGGUUAUUAACGAAGAGAUGAAACCGUAGUAAAUUUAAUAUAGCCCACAGAAGGACUCUUGCUAGAAUGAGAAGGUUACGUAGCUAGAUAGAUAGGCCUUUAAUUAAGGUGUAUUGCUGGGUUAAGUGUAAAUUUUCCAAGCAAAAAUGAAGAUAGAAAACUGGUAAUUGCUUCCAAUUUAUAUUAUAAAAAUCAGUCAUAUUCAUUUUAGUUCCUAGACAGCCUUACUUAAUUCUAAGCCUCAAUCACUUAAUUGGAAGGGAGAAAUCUUUGAGUAAAAACAUAAGGAAUUGAGGAAAGAGACAGUCAGAUUGCAAGAACUGAAUGAACAGCACUUUAAAUGAAAUCAUUAAACCCCCUCGUCCAAGAUUUCAUAUUUGCUCUCCUCAAGGGAUAUUUAUUAUCAAAGCUGAGUAGGAAAAGAUUGGGAAUUAUAUCAGAAAAAAAAUCUAUAAUGGUUUCUUGAAAAUUGAAUCUGAAGAACUCCCUCUUUCUAUUACUGUCAUAAUUUCUCCAUGUCUCAAAGUUAGUGUAGAGUAGAAACUCAGAUAUUUCUCUCACUGACACCUCUUGCAACUCUGGUGUCACACAUAACACAAAGGUUCACAACGGUGCACAGAAACUACAUUUACCUCAACCAAAUUCUCAUUUUGUUUACAACAGACUUGCAGGGGGGAGUACAUUCAAGGAGGGCUUUGUUGUGAGUGUUCACACAACUCUCCUUGCAUCAAUCAGCCUCAGGAAAAAAAAAAAAAAGCCUUUCCUGAAGGGUGAGUCUUUGUGGGUUUGGGAGCCAACCAACGAUGAUUAGGAAACAAUCCGUGGUGGCUGAGGUGGCAGAUAAGAAGUAGAGAUGUGAAGAGCUGACAUUUAAAAGUAAUAGUCCUGGAGAAUACCGGUGAUUCACAAAAGCAGAUAUCAGAAUCAGUUGAUGACUACUGUUGAAUAAUAAGCCUACAUCCAUUCAAAGAUGAAAAAAAAAAAUUUUUGCCCUAAUGAAUAUUGACUUAUGAGAGGGGUUUAGCUCUGCAGGGUGAAUAUUCACAGAGCUUCAUGACUUAUAACUGCUCUCUCUCCUUCCCCUGACAAAGCCCAACACAGGAUGGGCUCUGGAUGUAAAUUCUCCACUUUCUCUGUUCCUGGACAGGAGAUAAAAUUCUGUAAUUAGAAUCAGCCAAGGUGCACAGAAUUUUAGUCCCUCCAUGCAUAAAUGAAAACCAGUGCAUCGGGAAUGCAUUUGUGGUGCGGGCAGUGGGUUCUGCCUCAGGCAAAUGCAUCAGCAGCACCAUUCCCAAGUCUUUUUGGGAUCCAUUUAAGCAACCACUUGAAGAGGAUCCAUAGCAGCAAGCGGGGAAAGCUGAGGCAAAGGUACUAAAUCUCUCCCUAUCAGAAGUCAAAUGAUGUUAGAGAAGUUACUCAAUGGAUGGUUUUGGUCUGCUUCUCUGGUUUCUGGAGGGAAGUGACAAGGGACACUGCUCCAUCAAUUGAAAUAAGGUUAAAACAUCCAGAUGCCAGUCGUUCAGAAAUAUAAAAUUAUCAUGCUGCAAAAGUAAUUAACACUUGCAGUUUUCAAAGGGCUGAGGAAGCUUUAACUAACUAAACAGUAAGGUUAGAGUAAUUGAAACUCAGAUGUUAGGUUGCUAAGGGGAACAGAAUAAUAGACUGAAUUAAUUAUCCUAGAGAAUUCAAGAUUAAAACACCAAAACAUUCCUAUGUUUACGUGAAAGGAACGAGCUCUCAGUAUGUCAAGAGCACUGAAGGUAGCAACAAUAAAUUUUUAUCUGUCAGCAGGAAGGGAAGAUAGAGCUCCAGAACGCCCAGGGAGGAUUAGGGAGAACAGUAGACAAUUGACAGUGAAACACAGACAAAGCUGGGAACAUAACCAUAAAGUGCUUGAGGAAAUCCUUAAAUCCGCUGGUAUUAAAGCAUUUACAGGGACUUUUCAAUUUCAUGGCAGCCUCACUAUCAGAGAGUUCUGUCAUUUCUGACAGUGGAAGCAGGCUCAGGUCUUCAAGUCAAAAAAGCUUUAGUGAGGUUUGAAGUUAUUCCAUGAAACAAUUUCAGAAGAUUUCCCAAGAUACAGCCAAUAGCUACCAGUGAGCCUUAGCUUGGAAUACAGAAACAAGUUUAAAAAAGGUAGGACAGAGGAUGAAACAGAAGCAUUUCAGCUGCUGGGGAGGGAGCACACACUGUCAAGGUUCAGUGGUGCCUUAUCUUAACAGCAAAGCAUUCCCCAGCCUUUGCUUCUGCCUCUGAGCUACUUUUGCUAAAAUUUAUAAUUACACCGAGAACUGGAUCAUUGAAAUAACCCAAGUAAAAAAAUAAAACAAUAAAAACCA